CCUGAGGAAAAGGACGCUGUGGCCACAGCUCCUAAUCUCCCAGAGACGCAACUGGACCGUACACACAGACAGCCAGAUGUUAUGUGUGGGGGUUUCAAAGGAAAUGGACCCGAGAAAAGACCGGACGGACUAAAGACCACGUGACGAGAGGUCACAUUUAGUCUUUUGCUGCACAUAUAGGCUACAGAGGGCUGCUUAGUGAAGAAGCUCACCUGCUGAUUAAUCAAUAUGGUGAGGAGUUGCGUGAAAGCAGGUUGCUCCCAAUGACAAAGCAACAAAGAAUAUUCCCCCAGUGCAGCUGUGUCCCUCACACAUCCACAAGGGGUGCUCGAGGAGAGCAGAAGCGCACCUGAACGAGCCUGGGCCGGCUUUUGGAAGACCUUCAGUGCACACCGGAGACAACAGAUGGAGUUUGACAAGAAGCUGGCGUGAGGCAACACAAGAGGACCCGUAACAGUUGUGAACAGCAACAAAACGAUGACAAGCUGAGAACAGAGAAGAGUUUAAGUCCACUGUUGAGCCAUCUCGGCAGGGACCCUGUGUUCUGUGUGCCGCGCCGACCCAGCCCUGCAGUGGACCGUGCCAUUCGAUCCACGCAGCCGAUGAUGAUUCACGCUCUGCGAUCCGGGGAGUGAGAGCAGGCAGAGGAAUCCCCCCCCCCUUCUCUCACCUUCCUCCCACCCUGCACAUCCAUAAUUCAGCAUUUGCGCCUUCGCCACACAACCCACCCCUCCCUCCUGUCUCUUUCAUCCCAUUGCUUUGGCUGCUGGCGUGCGCACCACAGCGCGGCGUCCACAAGCCCGAGUGCCCGCCGUCAGCAAUCCGGCCAUCUGGAGCUCCACGUCGAGCGGCGCAGGAACGCAGCUGCAACCUCUGACAAUGCAGACGUGUCUCUUCAUGAUCCCGCAUCGUUUUUGUGGUGUUUUUACAUUUUGGAAAAUAAUGUUUUUUUUAAGCAUUCAAGGAAAAGCCAAAAGGAACGAGUUUUAGCCGCAACACAGUUGUUUUGCUCUGUGGUCACUUUAAUGUGAGUCUCACAUUAUCCUGGUUAAAGGAAUAUGUAAUAACACGCUGAACAAAUAAAUGAUCCUGAUAUAUCGGAUAAGACCACUCGGUCCCUUUUGUUUUGGAGCGGCUGAAGUUUUUCCCCCCCUGGCUAGCCGUCUACGAAACCCUCUCUAAUAUUUUCUAUGUAUUGAUUGUAUAUGAGGAGGGGACACGGUUACUUUGAUCUGUUACCCUUUGGUUUGUUGACUACGGAUUUGAAGUUAUGAGUUUGAGCGUUGCUUUGCUGAAAAUCUGUCAAACUGUAUUGUGUUAAUGUCUGUUGUGGAACAUGUCGACCUUGGAAAAAAAUAAAUACUGCAUCAUGUUAGAGAUUCUGGGAUGUUUGGAUGUGAAUAGUAAGCUGACCUUUUGAUGUAAUUCUUCUGUAAUUGUUUUUUUUGGAUGUUGUUGCUUCAUCCUGUUCUUGCAUGUGUAAGAACGUCUAACUGCUCACUUGGUUUAGUUUAAUCACUCCAGUUUGGAUGUAGCGUUGUAAUGGUUGAAAUGUUUAUGUUAAUCCGAAUAUUACAAAAUAAAUCUGUGAAAACA
ensembl:lncRNA